rnacentral:lncRNA from 1 species
CAACACUUGGGGGGCUGCCCCACAACCCAGGGGUCUCCCCCCGGCCCUGGACCCCCCCCCUAAUUCGGGGACCCCUCGGCCCCCAUUGAGACCACAUUGAGGGGACCCCCCACCCACAAUAAAACAGAUGAGGGGGGGGUCUCCAAGUUAAUGGGGGGGGGGCUGUGGGACCCACACUUGGGGGUCUGCCCCACAUAUGGGGGGUGGGGGGGCAGUAGGACCCACACUUAGGGGGGUUUCUGCCCCACACUUGGGGGUCUGCCCCACACUUGGGGGUCUGCCCCACAUAUGGGUUUUGGGGGGGGCAGCAGGACCCACACUUGGGGGUCUGCCCCACAUAUGGGGUGUGGGAGCAGUAGGACCCACACUAAGGGGGGGUUCUGCCCCACACUUGGGGGUCUGCCCCACAUAUGGGGGGUGGGAGCAGCAGGACCCACACUAAGGGGGCUCUGACCCAUAUUAGGGGGGGUUCUGCCCCACACUUGGGGGUCUGCCCCACAUAUGGGGGGUUGGGGGGGCAGCAGGACCCACACUUAGGGGGGGUUCUGCCCCAUAUUAGGGGGGGUUCUGCCCCACACUUGGGGGUCUGCCCCACACUUGGGGGGGUUCUGCCCCACAUCUAUGGGUCUGCCCCACACUUGGGGGGCUGGGGGUGCUCCAUACUGAUAAGGGGGGGGCACAUAAUGGGUUCUGCCCCACAGAGAGGGGGGUUCUGCCCCACACUUAGGGGGCUCUGACCCACAUCUAUGGGUCUGCCCCACACUUAGGGGGUCUCAGCCCCACACUUGGGGGUCAGGGCUGCUCCAUAGGGUGGGGGGGGUCCUGUGCUCCGGCCCCCUCCCCUUUAUGGGUUCUGCCCCACACUUAUGGGGCAGAGACCGCACUUAUGGGGCUCAGCCUCACACUUAUGGGGCUCAGUUCUGCCCCACACUUAUGGGGCACAGCCCCCCAUCACCCCCCCAAAAACCCCAUUUGUUAAAAGGCCCCAAAAAGCCCCAAAAUGGCCCCAAAAAUGAGGCAAAU